rnacentral:lncRNA from 1 species
UUUUUUUUUUCAGAAAUGGACAAAAAUACACAGAUUUAUUCAGAAUGUUAUACCGAUGAAGAUCACAUAAAAAUAUUUGGAAAAAUCAGAAGUAUGGAUUUCAAUAUGGGACAAGAUCCCUAAUGCGCCUUGAAAUGAGGAACUCAAAAGUCACGUGUAAACAAAAAUUCUCUGUGUAGUGAUAUUUGACACUUUUCUAUGAUAAACAAGUGACUGAGCUUAACCAUUUGAGUUAAUUUAGAAAGUAGGGGAACACAGAAUAAAUGUGUAAAAUCUAUGGAGCUAUUAAAUGUGUUCA